rnacentral:lncRNA from 10 species
AACAGGGGCUAGGAAGAAGCCUGGAACCCAAACUCACCUUGUAUGGCAGAGGAAGCUUGAAAGUCAUGCCUCUUCAUCUCAUUCUUCUGAGAGCACCAGCUAGCUGGAUGGCAAUGACCAGAAGUGCUGCUCUGUGGGCUUCCCACACAUCAGCUACCACAUGCAAUUCAUCUCUGGAUUCCGGAGGGUCUGGAUUAUGCAGUCUUAUUUAUAUAGAGAGAGUUUGACAACUUGAAAGACCCCUUCAGCAUGAAAUAGAUAUCACUGCUGUAUCCUCAGUGCCUAGAACAGUGCCUGCACACAAGGACAUCUCAAUGAAUAUUUAUCGGAUGAAAAGAUGUGAACAUGUGGUUAACAGGAAAAUAUAUGAAAAUUAAUUUUAUUUCAAUUUAAAAUGUUACGUCUACUUAACAGGGCAUAAAUAUUGCUCAAAAUAAGUAUGUAUAGAGCUAUUACAUUCUUUUUAAUGGUGCCG